UACGUAGGGUGCAAGCGUUGUCCGGAAUUAUUGGGCGUAAAGAGCUCGUAGGCGGUUUGUCGCGUCUGCUGUGAAAACUCGGGGCUUAACCCCGGGCCUGCAGUGGGUACGGGCAGACUAUAGUGCGGUAGGGGAGACUGGAAUUCCUGGUGUAGCGGUGAAAUGCGCAGAUAUCAGGAGGAACACCGGUGGCGAAGGCGGGUCUCUGGGCCGUAACUGACGCUGAGGAGCGAAAGCGUGGGGAGCGAACAGG
rnacentral:rRNA from 1 species